rnacentral:rRNA from 1 species
AGAGUUUGAUCAUGGCUCAGAGCGAACGCUGGCGGCAGGCCUAACACAUGCAAGUCGAACGAACUCUUCGGAGUUAGUGGCGGACGGGUGAGUAACACGUGGGAACGUGCCUUUUGGUUCGGAAUAACUCAGGGAAACUUGUGCUAAUACCGAAUGUGCCCUUCGGGGGAAAGAUUUAUCGCCAUUAGAGCGGCCCGCGUCUGAUUAGCUAGUUGGUGAGGUAAAGGCUCACCAAGGCGACGAUCAGUAGCUGGUCUGAGAGGAUGAUCAGCCACAUUGGGACUGAGACACGGCCCAAACUCCUACGGGAGGCAGCAGCGGGGAAUCUUGCGCAAUGGGCGAAAGCCUGACGCAGCCAUGCCGCGUGAAUGAUGAAGGUCUUAGGAUUGUAAAAUUCUUUCAGUAGGGACGAUAAUGACGGUACCUACAGAAGAAGCCCCGGCUAACUUCGUGCCAGCAGCCGCGGUAAUACGAAGGGGGCUAGCGUUGCUCGGAAUUACUGGGCGUAAAGGGAGCGUAGGCGGACAUUUAAGUCAGGGGUGAAAUCCCGGGGCUCAACCUCGGAAUUGCCUUUGAUACUGGGUGUCUUGAGUAUGAGAGAGGUAUGUGGAACUCCGAGUGUAGAGGUGAAAUUCGUAGAUAUUCGGAAGAACACCAGUGGCGAAGGCGACAUACUGGCUCAUUACUGACGCUGA